rnacentral:rRNA from 1 species
GAUGAACGCUGGCGGCAUGCCUAAUACAUGCAAGUCGUGCGCCCUACUUGUAGGGAGCGGCGGACGGGUGCGUAACGCGUGGGAAUCUGCCCUGAAGUGAGGGAUAAGCCCGAGAAAUCGGGUCUAAUACCGCAUAUGGUCUACGGAUUAAAGCCUUCGGGCGCUUCGGGAGGAGCCUGCGUUCGAUUAGCUUGUUGGUGAGGUAAUGGCUCACCAAGGCUAUGAUCGAUAGCUGGUCUGAGAGGAUGAUCAGCCACACUGGGACUGAGACACGGCCCAGACUCCUACGGGAGGCAGCAGUAGGGAAUUUUCCACAAUGGGCGAAAGCCUGAUGGAGCAAUGCCGCGUGCAGGAUGACAGCCUUCGGGUCGUAAACUGCUUUUAUGAUUGAGGAUUAUGACGUUAGAUCAUGAAUAAGCUUCGGCUAACUCCGUGCCAGCAGCCGCGGUCAGACGGAGGAAGCAAGCGUUAUCCGGAGUGACUGGGCGUAAAGAGAUGCGUAGGCGGUAUAUUAAGCGGACAGUGAAAUCUUGAGGCUCAACCUUGAGGCUACUGUCUGAACUAAUAUACUAGAGCCCGAUAGGGGAAGCUGGAAUUCCUAGUGUAGGAGUGAAAUCCGUAGAUAUUAGGAGGAACACCAAUGGCGAAGGCAGGCUUCUGGAUCGGUGCUGACGCUCAGGCUCGAAAGCGUGGGGAGCGAACGGGAUUAGAUACCCCGGUAGUCCACGCCGUAAACGAUGGAUACUAGCUAGUUGGAGGUAUCGACCCCUUCAGCAGCGAAGCUAACGCGUUAAGUAUCCCGCCUGGGGAGUACGGUCGCAAGAUUAAAACUCAAAGGAAUAGACGGGGACCCGCACAAGCGGUGGAGCGUGUUCUUUAAUUGGAUGAUAAGCCAAGAACCUUACCCAGACUUGACAUCCUUGGAAGGACUACGAAAGUAGUCUGUGCCUUUGGAACCAAGUGACAGGUGCUGCAUGGCCGUCUUCAGCUCGUGUCGUGAGAUGUUAGGUUAAGUCCUUCAACGAGCGCAACCCUUAUGAUUAGUUGAAUUUUUCUAGUCAGACUGCCUCGGUAACGGGGAGGAAGGAGGGGAUGAUGUCAGGUCAGUAUUGCCCUUACGUCUGGGGCUAGAAACGCGCUACAAUGGCUGGUACAAUGGGCCGCUAAGUCGCGAGACGGAGCAAAUCCCAUCAAAGCCAGUCUCAGUUCGGAUUGGAGGCUGAAAUUCGCCUCCAUGAAGCCGGAAUCGCUAGUAACCGUAGGUCAGCACACUACGGUGAAUACGUUCCCGGGUCUUGUACUCACCGCCCGUCAUACCAUGAAAGUCGCCAACACCCGAAAGCUGAUCAAUAAGAUCGGUCUAAGGUGGGGGAGAUGAUUGGGGUA